rnacentral:lncRNA from 1 species
ACAAUUCAAAAACAACAAUCUCAAUCUCAACAAAACUACAACGACAUCAACAAUAAAUCUAUUAUGCAUUUAUCUUAACUAAAAAAACAACAUAUAACAUUCAAUCUCAGUCUAAACAAUAAUAACAACAAUGCCAACUUUAAACAACAACUCAAAAACAACAAUCUCCAUCUCAACAAAACUACAACAACAUCAAUAAUAAGUAUUACAUACU